GGCAGCACGAUGUAGCAAUACAUUGGUGGCGACCGGCGCACGGGUGAGUAACGCGUAUGCAACCUACCUAUCAGAGGGGAAUAACCCGGCGAAAGUCGGACUAAUACCGCAUAAAACAGGGGUUCCACAUGGAAAUAUUUGUUAAAGAAUUAUCGCUGAUAGAUGGGCAUGCGUUCCAUUAGAUAGUUGGUGAGGUAACGGCUCACCAAGUCCACGAUGGAUAGGGGUUCUGAGAGGAAGGUCCCCCACACUGGUACUGAGACACGGACCAGACUCCUACGGGAGGCAGCAGUGAGGAAUAUUGGUCAAUGGGCGAGAGCCUGAACCAGCCAAGUCGCGUGAAGGAUGAAGGAUCUAUGGUUUGUAAACUUCUUUUAUAUGGGAAUAAAGUGAGGAACGUGUUCCUUUUUGUACGUACCAUAUGAAUAAGCAUCGGCUAACUCCGUGCCAGCAGCCGCGGUAAUACGGAGGAUGCGAGCGUUAUCCGGAUUUAUUGGGUUUAAAGGGUGCGUAGGUGGUUAAUUAAGUCAGCGGUGAAAGUUUGUGGCUCAACCAUAAAAUUGCCGUUGAAACUGGUUGACUUGAGUAUAUUUGAGGUAGGCGGAAUGCGUGGUGUAGCGGUGAAAUGCAUAGAUAUCACGCAGAACUCCGAUUGCGAAGGCAGCUUACUAAACUAUAACUGACACUGAAGCACGAAAGCGUGGGGAUCAAACAGGAUUAGAUACCCUGGUAGUCCACGCAGUAAACGAUGAUUACUAGCUGUUUG
rnacentral:rRNA from 1 species